rnacentral:rRNA from 1 species
GCCAGAGCCAUAUCACCCUGCAGCUCUCAUGUGGUUUCCCACUGAAGCUAAGUAGCAUUGAGUCUGCCCAGUAUGUGGAUGGGGGACCUCCUGGGGAAAACUAAGGUUGCUGCUGGAA